UGAAGCAUUUGAAGCCAAUCUGAAGAUUUAAACUCUCCUGAGAACCUCUGGUUGCUUUUGUUUAAUAGUUGGGAUCCUGGAAGCUUCUUUCCCUGAAACGAGUCCCACAGCUAAAGAAGUUUGGGACCCACUAAGAAUCUACGACCCCUACAUUACCUUCCAGCUCUGACAAUCUGUGGUUAUAUAGCUACAGUUCAAAUGCUCUCAGAGAAGGUGCUAUAAAACUUUCUUUUGUUUCAUGUUCUGGUUAUUAAAAGUCAGCACAAAUCUUCACAGCAUUGAGAGACCAGCUUUGAGGAUAAUUUGGGUCUUUAAAGAACACUCCUCUGCCUCCUUGAAAAAGUUGUGUUAAAGCAAUUAAAUGUUAUUUGAAGGAAAGAAAAAGCACAAGCUGACUACUGAAUAACAGGACUAGUGUUAACAAAACAAUCCUUACCCUGGGAUCAAAGCCAGAGAGAGGCAGACAGAUAGUGUGCAGGGGAUAAGGGGAGAGAGGAAGAACGGGAGGUGUUAGAAUGGCUUCGGUUCAAUUAGGGAUGCGAAUGCGCAAUUUGGGGAUAGUCUUCUGAAUUCAGAACAAUAGCUGGCGAUGGAACCGUGAAUGGCCCCAUGAGAACUCACAAUGCAAGAAACACUGGAUUCGGCAUCUCUGUUCAGACAAGGGGCCAAAUAAAGGAACAAAACAAACAAGCGGACAUAAUUGUUUGCCAUUCAAGGGAGCCACAGACCGCUCGGCAUAUGGUGUGUGGAGAUUCCGGAAUGCACAGGCGAUCUCAUUUGGAAUGACUAUUCUUGUUCCAGAGGCCUGGGAGCCAGAUGAGCAGGAGGCUGACUGAAAGAUGAGGUGGACUGCACCCUCCAUUUCUGAUGCCGAAACAGUCUUUCUCAGCUUCAGUGCCCAAGAUUACUUGAUCCAGGUAAAGCCAGAUGCUGUGAAGUGAGGACACUCAGGCAGUCGGUAGAGAGGCCCACAUGGGUUGGAACUUAGGCCUGCCAGCAGCCACAUGAAUGAACCUUGAAAUGGGUCCUCUGCCCCCAGAAGAUAGCACCUCUGGCCAAAUUUCCAUCCAUGUGAGAGAUCCUGAGCUGGAACCACCCAGCCAAGCUUCUCCCCCCAGUCCUGACUCACAGAAACGGAGAUAAUAAAUGCUUGUUGGUUUAA